rnacentral:lncRNA from 1 species
GUUUAACUCCUCAUUAAUUGUUUUGGCUUGCACCUGAGCUCUUCCUCAAUUCGAGCUUAUUUUUUUCUUUAGAUCAAUUUGAUUCUAGGCUUCAGAUCGAUCUAGAUUUGGCUUCGACCUCAGUCCUUUGAUUUUAAUGCUUGUAGGCCUACAAUUUUUCUAAAAAGAAAGAAAAUGAAAUGAAAAGUGAGGGCCCAAGAACCUCUUAUUAAGAAAAUUUUGUGCAAGUCUUUUAAGACUUGCUUCCUCUUCUGAUCAGGAUUGCAUGCCCCCCAUUAUUAGAUCCAACCAGAAGUGCU